rnacentral:rRNA from 1 species
CCGUUACUUCGGUACAAGAGAGACAGGUGGUGCAUGGUUGUCGUCAGCUCGUGUCGUGAGAUGUUGGGUUAAGUCCCGCAACGAGCGCAACCCCUAUCUUUAGUAGCCAGCAUUUCGGGUGGGCACUCUAGAGAGACUGCCGGGGAUAACCCGGAGGAAGGUGGGGAUGACGUCAAAUCAUCAUGCCCCUUAUGAUUUGGGCUACACACGUGCUACAAUGGCGUAAACAAAGGGAAGCAGCCCUGUGAAGGUGAGCAAAUCCCAAAAAUAACGUCCCAGUUCGGAUUGUAGUCUGCAACUCGACUACAUGAAGCUGGAAUCGCUAGUAAUCGCGGAUCAGAAUGCCGCGGUGAAUACGUUCCCGGGUCUUGUAACACACCGAA